rnacentral:rRNA from 1 species
UACGGAGGAUCCAAGCGUUGUCCGGAUUUAUUGGGUUUAAAGGGUGCGUAGGCGGAUAAUUAAGUCAGUGGUGAAACCUUGCGGCUCAACCGUAAAAUUGCCAUUGAAACUAAUUAUCUUGAGUACAGUUGAGGUGGGCGGAAUGUAUCAUGUAGCGGUGAAAUGCUUAGAUAUGAUACAGAACACCUAUUGCGAAAGCAGCUCACUAAACUGCAACUGACGCUGAGGCACGAAAGCGUGGGGAUCAAACAGG